UUGGACAGCGGGUCAGAGAGGGUGAGAGUCCCGUCCGGGGCCGCGCACCGCGUCUAUGUGAAGCUCCUUCGACGAGUCGAGUUGUUUGGGAAUGCAGCUCUAAAUGGGUGGUAAAUUUCAUCUAAAGCUAAAUAUUGGCCAGAGACCGAUAGCGCACAAGUAGAGUGAUCGAAAGAUGAAAAGCACUUUGAAAAGAGAGUUAAACAGUAUGUGAAAUUGUUGAAAGGGAAGCGCUUGCAACCAGACUUGCGGGUGACGGUUCCCCCGACCUUUUUGAUCGGGCUACUCCGUCAUCUCCAGGCCAGCAUCGGUUUGGGUGGUCGGUUAAAGACCUCGGGAAUGUAUCUACCUCCGGGUCGACUUAUAGCCCGGGGUGCAAUGCGGCCUAUCUGGACCGAGGAACGCGCUUCGGCUCGGAUGCUGGCGUAAUGGUUGCAAGCGGCCCGUCUUGAAACACGGACCAAGGAGUCGAACAGUCACGCGAGUGUGUGGGUGUUAAACCCUUGCGCGUAAUGAAAGUGAACGGAGGUAGGAACCCCGCAAGGGGUGCACUAUCGACCGAUCCUGAUGUCUUCGGAUGGAUUUGAGUAAGAGCGUGGCUGUCCGGACCCGAAAGAUGGUGAACUAUGCGUGUAUAGGGUGAAGCCAGAGGAAACUCUGGUGGAGGCUCGCAGCGGUUCUGACGUGCAAAUCGAUCGUCAAAUAUGCGUAUAGGGGCGAAAGACCAAUCGAACCAUCUGGUAGCUGGUUCCUGCCGAAGUUUCCCUCAGGAUAGCAGUAACGUAUUCAGUUUUAUGAGGUAAAGCGAAUGAUUAGAGGCCUUGGGGUUGAAACAACCUUAACCUAUUCUCAAACUUUAAAUAUGUAAGAAGUCCUUGUUACUUGAUUGAACGUGGACAUUCGAAUGUAUCGUUACUAGUGGGCCAUUUUUGGUAAGCAGAACUGGCGAUGCGGGAUGAACCGAACGUGAGGUUAAGGUGCCGGAAUGCACGCUCAUCAGACACCACAAAAGGUGUCAAUGCAUCUAGACAGCCGGACGGUGGCCAUGGAAGUCGGAAUCCGCUUAGGAGUGUGUACUGUGAACUGUUGCACACCACCAAUUCAGAGGGAAUUAGUUGACCCCUUGGUCAACGAUGGCUCUACCGGACCGGAAUGGUCUCUGGAUCAACCGGUCGUCAGUCCUCAGGCUGAUCUACAGACUACAAGGAGCCGAUCGGGAAUCCCACUUCCGGUCAAGAUAUAGUCGAUCGGGCCCUCCAACCGAGGUGUCCUUUGACGAGAACAACUCACCGGCCGAAUGCAUUGGCCCUGAAAAUGGAUGGCGCUUAAGCGUGCUACCUAUACCUCGCCGUUGGGGUUGAAAUGAUGCCCCAACGAGUAGGCAGGCGUGGAGGUCCGUGACG
rnacentral:rRNA from 1 species